CUGUGGUAUAUUUUCAAUACACAAAAAUUCACAAAUGUGUUCGGGAUCGGUAUUCAAUCGGGGUCAAGGUCGAAGUGAAAGUAGACUUAGCAGAAAGUUGUCAAAACUGUUCAGUGCAUUGUUUAGCAGUAUAUAGGUGAUGGGAAUUUGUAUGUUACACAGGAGGCAAGAGGUUCAUGGUGAUUGGUUCAGGAAAAACAUGAGGUCCAUGCAGAUGGUGUUUAAAACUAUUGGCUAGCAAAUGCACGCCCAUUUGAAUACAUCUUGAAGCAGCACCAGCAAAGUGUGACAGUCGGCAAAAUGUAGGUUCCCGCAGACAGACGCAUUUUGCCGGAAAACGAAUCUGACAUGCCACCUCGAGAUUUUAACCAAGGAAAGACAAGUUGAUGUGCUUUGAUUUGAGGGGUCACUCACUUCUGAACGAAAAUUAGGGACAUCGCUAUGAGAGGAAACGUUAACAUUGUCGCCUAUGGGAUAACAAUUAGUGGACUGUAC